rnacentral:lncRNA from 1 species
CCUACUCACACCCCCCCGUGCCUGGCACAGAGAAGCUGCUUAAUAUAUAUUUAAGGAGUGAACCAACGAAUAAAUAAUUGAAUUCAUGCAGACUCCUGAGAUGUUCAAGAUGCAUACAUCAUGUGAGGAUAAGAUUCAGAUGAAAGACAUCGAAAAAUCACAAAUCUAAAAGAUCCAGGACAAUCUCAUGGGCAUGGGAAUUGCCACACGGGCCAGAACCCAAGGCCCAAGGGGACAGAGU